rnacentral:lncRNA from 1 species
UACCACCAACGGCACCGUGCAUGUCGUGGUCAAUAACCAGAUUGGCUUUACUACAGAUCCCCGAAUGGCUCGCUCCUCACCUUACCCCACGGAUGUGGCGCGGGUGGUUAAUGCGCCCAUCUUCCACGUGAACGCGGAUGACCCAGAAGCCGUGAUCUAUGUGUGCAGUGUGGCCGCCGAGUGGAGGAACACCUUCAACAAAGAUGUUGUUGUAGACCUGGUCUGUUACCGCCGGCGUGGCCACAAUGAGAUGGACGAGCCCAUGUUCACGCAGCCGCUCAUGUACAAGCAGAUCCACAAGCAGGUACCCGUGCUGAAGAAGUACGCAGACAAGCUCAUCGCCGAGGGUACAGUCACCCUGCAGGAGUUUGAGGAAGAAAUUGCCAAAUAUGACCGCAUCUGUGAGGAGGCCUACGGCAGGUCCAAGGAUAAAAAGAUUCUGCAUAUAAAGCACUGGCUGGACUCGCCCUGGCCUGGCUUCUUCAAUGUGGAUGGGGAGCCCAAGAGCAUGACAUGCUCUCUGCUGUGAUCUUGGAAGUAGAGAGCUCAGCCCUAACAGCAGGUGAAGCUCAGCCACACCACGGGAUGCAGUGAGGUGUGGAGACCAAAGCGUAGAGGAAUAAAGACUU